UGAACAAGGAGUUGCUGAUGGAGGCGGC
rnacentral:sRNA from 1 species